UUGAAAGGGAAACGAUUGAAGUNAGUNGUACCGACGGAAAUCAGCUUUCGAAUGUGAUUUGUGGGGUAUGAGAUCUNAUUGUUUGCAAUAUGUAUGUUUCUUUGGUGUACUUUUUCUAUGGUAGGUCAACGUCGGUUUUGAUCGCCAUAAAAUGAUCGGAGGAAUGUAGCUUCGGCUUCGGUUGAAGUGUUUUAUAGCCUUUGGUAAAUGUGGUGAUUAAGACCAGGAUUGAAGAAUACCUUUUAGGUAUCCUUGNNUUGAAAGUUACUUAGGUGNNAAAGCUUGUUUGUCNUUUAAGUUGANGGUNAAUAGGUUAGAACGUGAUACAUUCGUUAAGGAUGUUGACGUA
rnacentral:rRNA from 1 species